rnacentral:rRNA from 1 species
AAGCGCUUGCAACCAGACUUGCGCGCGGUGGUUCCCCUCGCCUUUUGGCUAGGGUACUCCGCCGCGUCCAGGCCAACAUCGGUUUUGGGGGUCAGUUAAAGGCCUUGGGAAUGUACCUACCUACGGGUAGACUUAUAGACCAGGGUGCCAUGUGACCUCCCGGGACCGAGGAACGCGCUUCGGCUCGGAUGUUGGCGUAAUGGUUGUCAGCGA